UGGCUCCGCCCCCGGCCCGGGGCCUUCCCGCCGAGCCUCCGCCAGGCUUCGGGACCAAGGGGCUGGGGAGCUACAUGGAGAUCAAGGCCAAGAGCAGCUCCCCCAGAUCACCUUUCAGCACACAAAGAGGCUUUGGGGGGAGUUCCUGGAAGAACUGAAAUCAGAAAUGGUGAUUCUUCUAACAUAUCAAGGAACUCUGGGAAAUAAUCACCAACUUCUUCAUCUACUGCUCCAACAAGACUUAUCUGCCGCAUAGGACCUGCUCGGGCCAAGUUCAACCAUGCACAUGACAACACCAAAGGAAGUGGCAAAACUUAAAGAUAGAAGGAAAGGAGAAUCCUAGAUGACAUCAUGGAACAGAGCUGCUUACCUCUGGGCUUGUUACUUGAGAAAGAAACUUAUUUUGUCCUAGCUACUGUAUGUGCGAUCUCUUUGUUACGGUGGUUUAGCCUAUAUCUUGUAUACUUUGUACUAAGGGAGGCAAUACUCUGUAUUGCACAGAUGCCAUCUGGAGCAUCAUCUCCUGCUCUGGGCUAAAUUAAAAAAAAGUCUAUUACAAGAGCACUCCCGAAAGAGAACAAUCAAGAUGAUUAGCGACGUGGAAACCAUACAGAUUGGAGGAAGAGUGAUGAAAUUAAAAAUAUUUCAAAAGUAUAUGAAAUGAUUAAAGUGGGGACACAAUAAUCUUCAAAUACUUGGAAGCUUAUCACAGAAGAGUAGACUUAUAUAGCCUUAAAUAAAGAACAAGAAU